rnacentral:misc_RNA from 1 species
GUGAAGAACGUAGCGAAAUGCGAUAAGUAAUGUGAAUUGCAGAAUUCAGUGAAUCAUCGAAUCUUUGAACGCACCUUGCACCCUUUGGCAUUCCGAAGGGUAUGCUCGUUUGAGUGUCAUUGUACUCUCACACUCUCCGAUCCUAUGGAUUCGGGGAGCGGUGGACUUGGGUGUUGCUGCCUUUCCCUGUGGCUCACCUCAAAUGCGUCAGUGCACCUCUUGGUUGGACAUAGUACGGCGUGAUAAGUGUCUUCGCCGGCACCUCGCAAGAGGGUGGCCGAUCGGGAGCUCUGCGCUUUCAAACCGUCUUCGGACAAUUUCUGACAUCUUGACCUCAAAUCGAGUAGGACUACCCGCUGAACUUAAGCAUAUCAAUAAGCGGAGGA